UUACUUGCAAUUUUUUUUCCGUGGUUGGUCCACCGUGUUGUCAUUUUCAUUCGACGUUCUUGUCGAUUUCGGAACGGGUUCGGAAAAAUCGCGAAAUCGUUUAGUUAUAAAUUACCGACCACAGACAGAAUGCGAGAAAUGAUUUAUAAUUCUGAAAGACGGCCGCGAAACAAAACGAAAACGAAUACGUUCGGUACCGAUCGCAUCGGCGUUCGCCG